GAGAAGUGAUGUUAAUGGUAGAUGUUUAAUCAAAGAUUAAACUUGGACUUGCCACAAAUGUCAAAGACAGGAUCAUAAUUUCAUCGGCAACUUCCCUUCCCCCAACUGCACUUCAAAGGAAGAGCCAUCCAUUAAUAACAGUGCACAACUUAAACCCAAAGGGCUAAUCCCUUUUAAGCACCCCUUUGCAAAAUAUACUCAUUUACAGUUGACAUUCAUCAGACCUCAGCAGGAAAUUAGAUGGAGAACAGCAUGAAAAUAUCACAUACAAAAAGAAUAAUAAUCAGGUUUAACAGGUUUCUGCAGGACUUUAUUUAAAUGUGGGUGGAGGAGUGAGAAUUUGCUAUAAUAUACCAGUAAUGUCUAAAGACAAGAUUUCAUAGUUCAGUAUGGUUAACACGCUAUAAUAAGCAUAUUGCUGUAAAUCCAUUAAGAUGAAGGUAAUAUAAAUGCCAGUAAAUGCAAAAUAAAAAAAUAUUUUCACCCAUUGUAAA